CACUGCCAUUUUCUGUGACUAAACAACUACUCCUGCUUUCACUGAGUGCAGGACUCACAUGCUUUCAUCUAUCUGUGGGGAAUUUUCUUCAUAUAAAUAACAAUGGCAUCAUUGAUACAGUGAUUUUCUGGGGAAGGUCUUGCAAGUCAGACAGAAACUCCAUCUAGCAACCAUUUAGGCAACAAAUAAUAUCUUUAAUGUCCUGAAAUUCUGGUAUUUAAUGUUUCAGGGGUAGCUUUUAUUUAUCAAUCUGUACUUCACCUACCUGCCUCAGGUGCUAGUGGCAGCUGUUUGUUCUGGAUGAAAGGCAAAAAUAAAAGUCUUGCUGUAUUUUAGAGGUACUCAAACAGAUAUUUUUGCACUGUGAAAUCCCCACCGCCUUUAAAGUAAAAACCUUCUGAAACAGAAGAGAACACGGACACUUAAUUAACAUCUGGCAGUAUCCUGUAGUCAGUCAAAGCCUAUAAUCAUAGUUCAUUGUGCCACAGCUCAUGUGGGAAGCUACAUUUUGUGGAACCCAAAGCUUGCAAGGCAGCCAUCCCUGUGCUCCUGCAGACUGUACAGUAUGGAGCAGUGUAAAAGAAAGACACAAGGGGGUUUAUCAGGCACUGCCUGUUUUCAGUUACCAAAGUUCACACUGUAAUACGCGGACGAAGUGAGACAGGUAUUUUGGGUGGUCUUAUCACUGAGGCCAGCAUACAUUGACUUUAGUGGGUCCAGUGCAGAUUCCUCCUUUGUCAGUGGAAACGUGACACAGAAUAAUUUACUAAUCUCCUAAUGAUCUAUGAUCUUUAGUGCUCCAAGGAAUGGGAGAGAAAGGGAGAGUAGAAAGAUUUUCCUUAAAAUGUUUAUAUGAAUAUUGCUUUCACUCUAAGAGCGUCUUGCAGUAUUUCAUGUGCUUUUGCACUAAUUCAGUUAGGGGUGAAACUCAUAUUUCAAGAUUCACCUGCAGCCCAGGAACACAGGAACUGAAUCUGUGUGUUAGAUUAAUUCAGUGUGUUAGGUCAAAUUCAGAUUUCAGAAUUUCUAGAUGUGAGCUGGCCACAAUACAAAAGAGUCAGGAAGAACCUAACCACCAAGUAAAAUCAAAUAGUGAUUUGUUCUGUCAAAAUAAAAGUAAGAACAGUGAAACUCAUAGUACUUUUUUGUGUAAUCGCAUUUGAAAGGCCAUAGGAAAAAACCUGCCCAUUCUAAUCUUAGUACAUAGGGCUUUGACAUGGGACUCUCUAAAACUAUUUUCCCUACUCCCUUGAGUCUAUUUUCCAACUGUACAUCAAACUACUUACAGUGACAAGCUAUUCUACAAAUUUAUCACAUCACGUGGUUCUGUGAUGCUACUCUGCAUGACUGAAGGCCUUUGGAGAAAGUCCAGAGGAGAGGAGCAAGAAAGAGUCAGGGAAACAUGAUACACAAAGAAACCUUGAACUGAGGGUGUUCAGUCUGCAGGAAUGAAGAAUGCCAAAGGACAUGGUCACAGUCUUCCCCUACUGAAAAGUCUGGUGCAAAAGAGCACAGAGAUUUGUCCUCCAUGAAGACAAUAAAAUUAGCUUUGGUCUUGACCUGCAGAAGGGUGGAAGCAAGCUGGAUACUGGGAAAAUGUCAUUUUUUGGGGGAGUGAUUAUGGUAAGUUACUAUAACAGUAACAUGGUGAGGUAUUAAGGGCAGGCUAUAUAGAAACAGAAAUACUUUGUCCUUAGUGUUUACAAAUCCUAUGACUUUAUUGCCUCUUAACUAUUCUUUCCACUUCUCUUCCUAGUAACCUACUGCAUUGCUUCUUACUGUAAGUAUUCCAAAUAAAUGUUUCUUGUCUUCCAUAAAAAUGCAUUUAUCUGUAUGCUGCUUCUUCCAUCUCCUUCCCCUUCCCUUUUGCAGUUUUCAUCUCUCCAUUGCAGCUGUCCUUGAAGAUUUAAUUAACAAACCAAAAUAAAUUGAAAAAAUACAAUGUAAAGAGGUGAAUGGGAUUUUUGGUUGGCCUCCAGCAUCUCUCUGUAUUUGUGUUUACAAUUCUCUCAUAAUCAGCAAAUUUACAAUUUACAUUUUGUGCUUACAUCCAAACUGAUUGAUAGUCCUAAAAUUGAUGCUAAUGUUUCAGUUGAAGCAUCUGAAUUUUUUAUAAUUGUAACUGCUUUAUGUUGUAGUUUCCUAACAAGACUAAUAUUUUGCUUUCAUUUUUGCCCACAAGUUACUCAUUUUUCAUAGUGACGAGGACCUUGGAUCCAAUUUCAUGCUUAUGUUAUGGUAAUCCCAAAACUGUUUCAUGUAAACCAAAUAAACUUGCCUUGUAGGGGGGACAGACCUAGGAUUCUUUAGACAGCAUCCUAAUGGGCGAGGUUCUUUUGGCUGUCUUUAAUUCUUCAUUUUCUUUGUCACAUUUUGCCUCUUACUCUUGAUCUGACAAAUUUUAUUCUGGGUGAUGGACCCACUUCAAUCAGGAACUAGGAAUAUAUUUUGAAUAAGGAUUUGUAUGGCAGAUAAGGCAGUUUUUCACAGAGGCAGAAGACAGAUUUCAGAUGGGGUGGGCUCUCCCAUCACCAAACUAUUGCAGAGACAGGAGGGAAAACCACUGCUCCUCUGGCUGUGUUUAAAAGGAAGGAAUGAACACACAUUACAAUUUAGUGUUUUUAAAUUUAGUCUCAGAUCUGAGAUACUGUUGCUUGUAGCUCACAUUCACAGAAUUUUAGGAACUGUCGUUGGAGCAAACCCCUUGUAGGAGAAACCGAGUCUGUGAUUACAUGUACUGGUGCUCAGGCAUCUCUGUUUCAGGCACUGGAUGUGGGCCAGGCCAAUGAAUUUGUAACAUGCUGUAAUCCUGGACCAUACUGAAGAACAUCUGGGGUUUGAUUAAAAAUAUAUUUAGUUACAUGCUUACUUUCAAAUUCUUCUACGCAAUGGAUUUAUCAUAAACAGCUUAGUCCCAUUUCCCAGGGCUUGUGCUUUGUGCUCCCACUUGUUGCACCCCAUGGCUGCUAUCAGCACUAGUACUCAAUUACAGUGCCAUCAGCCACAAGUUUAUCAGGUGUUUUCUGUCACUGUGGAGAGACCUGUGGGUAGAACUGCCAAGCAGAUGCUGCUUAUUACCUCUUUUGCUGUAUUUUCGCAAAAUUAAAGAAAAAGGAACUUCUUUAAGCUGCAUAACACUUCUGUAAAUUAUAUCCUAUUCAAAACAGCCAAACAAUUUUUGCUACCCAUGUUUUGUGCCACACCGCCCUUCAAGACAACCUGGUGUAAAGCUAAGGAUGUUUUCCCAGGUGCUGAAUCCACACUAAUCCCUGAGAGGGUGGGAAA